UAGGGAAUCUUCCGCAAUGGACGCAAGUCUGACGGAGCAACGCCGCGUGAGUGAAGAAGGAUUUCGGUUCGUAAAACUCUGUUGUUAGAGAAGAACAGCGCAUAGAGUAACUGUUAUGCGUGUGACGGUAUCUAACCAGAAAGCCACGGCUAACUACGUGCCAGCAGCCGCGGUAAUACGUAGGUGGCAAGCGUUGUCCGGAUUUAUUGGGCGUAAAGCGAGCGCAGGCGGUCAAUUAAGUCUGAUGUGAAAGCCCCCGGCUCAACCGGGGAGGGUCAUUGGAAACUGGUUGACUUGAGUGCAGAAGAGGAGAGUGGAAUUCCAAGUGUAGCGGUGAAAUGCGUAGAUAUAUGGAAGAACACCAGUGGCGAAGGCGACUCUCUGGUCUGUAACUGACGCUGAGGCUCGAAAGCGUGGGUAGCAAACAGG
rnacentral:rRNA from 1 species